GUGCUUGCUUCAGCAGCACAUAUAUGAAAGUUGGAACAAUACAAAAAAGAUUAGCUUAGCCCCUGGGCAAGGAUGACACACAAUUUUGUGGUGGUCCAUGUUUUU
ensembl:snRNA U6 U6 spliceosomal RNA